rnacentral:lncRNA from 1 species
CUCUUUUCUUUAGUUUUGUAGUGUUGGUUCAGCCCUUACUGUGUGCCAAGCACUGUUCUAAGCGCUGGGGGUGGAUAGAAGCUAAUCAGGUUGUAGGGCUCACGGCCUCCAUCCCCAUUUUGCGGAGGAGGUCACUGAGGCACGGUGAAGUGACUUGCCCCAGGUCACGCAGGGGAUAAGUGGCCGAGGUGGGAUUAAUAAUAAUGUUGGUAUUUGUUAAGCGCUUACUAUGUGCAGAGCACUGUUCUAAGCGCUGGGGUAGAUAUAGGGUCAUCAGGUUGUUCCACGUGGGGCUCACAGUCUUCAUCCCCCAUUUUACAGAUGAGGUCACUGAGGCACCGAGAAGAGAUGUGGCUUGCCCACAGUCACACAGCUGACAAGUGGCAGAGCCGGGAUUCGAACCCAUGACCUCUGACUCCCAAACCUCUGAGCCACGCUGCUUGUCAGCCGCCUUUAUUGGGAAGGGGAAGGGAAGCAGAGCCUCCCGUCCCCUGGGAGAGGGUCGUGGAAAGGACAGCAGCGUGGCUCAGUGGAAAGAGCCCGGGUUUGGGACUCAGACGUUGUGGGUUCUAAUCCCGACUCCCCCACUUGUCAGCUGUGUGACUUUGGACAAGUCGCUUGACUUCUCUGGGCCUCAGUGACCUCAUCUGGAAAAUGGGGAUGAAGACUGUGAGCCCUAUGUGGGACAAUCUGAUGACCCUGUAUCUACCCCAGCGCUUAGAAUAGUGCUUGGCACAUAGUAAGUGCUAAACAAAUAGCAACAUCGUUGUUACUGUUAAAGGAGCAGGGUGGGGGGCUGCAGGGGAAAAGGAUGCAUUUUUGUGCGCAGAGCUCACCCAGUCGCCACCUCUCCCGCCUCCGGACCAGUCAGUGGAUGGGCGGUUUGAUUUCCCUUCCAUUUUGGGGGGAUGGGAGGAGAAGGGGGGAGGAAGAGGUCCUCUUUGGGGCCUGGGGGUUUUCCAUUUGUCCAUCAUCUGUGAGCCUGGCUUUUUUUCCCCCACAGCCCCUAGGUCAGCAUGGACGUCCAGCCUCCUCAGCACCAGUGGCGACUCCAGGUGCAGAAGUCCAGCAGCAGCUGCUUCUCAUUUCCAGAGGCUUCUGGAGACCACUGAACCGCCCCCCUGCAAGCAAGCCUUCAGGAAACUACAAGAAACUGGGAAAAUCACUGCUAGAAGAACCCCUGCAACCAUAUAUCAGUAAAAUGCUUACAUUUUUUAAAUGCUUAAGUGUUUGCCAAAAUCUUCAGUUGUUGAGGAUAGUUGGAAAUUGGUUAGCAGCCUCAACCAUGAGCUUUCAUGUCAGCUGUGCCCCAAUUACCUUAAUUUUAAUCAGCAAGAUCAAUUGUAAAAGGAAAAGCAUUUUUAAAAGUUCGAUGCCUAAGUUUAUUUUAAAUGACAAAUCCAUACUACCAUGUGAAAAAUCAGACUUGGAGGAUUCAAAGAACUGCAUUUUAUUUCAAAUAUUCAAAAUCUUAAACAUUAAAAUUUUUUAA